rnacentral:rRNA from 1 species
CCUAACACAUGCAAGUCGAACGGCAGCACAGAAGAGCUUGCUCUUUGGGUGGCGAGUGGCGGACGGGUGAGUAACACGUAGGAAUCUACCCAGUAGUGGGGGAUAACCUGGGGAAACCCAGGCUAAUACCGCAUACGCCCUGAGGGGGAAAGCGGGGGGAUCUUCGGACCUCGCGCUAUUGGAUGAGCCUGCGUCGGAUUAGCUAGUUGGUGGGGUAAGGGCCCACCAAGGCGACGAUCCGUAGCUGGUCUGAGAGGAUGACCAGUCACACCGGAACUGAGACACGGUCCGGACUCCUACGGGAGGCAGCAGUGGGGAAUAUUGGACAAUGGGCGCAAGCCUGAUCCAGCCAUGCCGCGUGGGUGAAGAAGGCCUUCGGGUUGUAAAGCCCUUUAGGUGGGGAGGAAGGCAUUCAUGCUAAUACCAUGGAUGAUUGACGUUACCCACAGAAUAAGCACCGGCUAACUCCGUGCCAGCAGCCGCGGUAAUACGGAGGGUGCAAGCGUUAAUCGGAAUUACUGGGCGUAAAGC